rnacentral:rRNA from 11 species
AUUUCCAUUAAUAUCCUAUGGGCACCAGAUCUAAUCUGAUUUUGGAAGCUGCUAAGCAGGGUCGGUCCUGGUUAGUACUUGGAUGGGAGAUCGCCAAAGAAUAUCAGAUGCUAUAUAUG